rnacentral:lncRNA from 1 species
CGCCCGCCCGCCCGCCCAUCCUCUUUGGCAUCUCCACUCCGGACCAGUUCAGCAGCCGCAGUAGAAACACAGUACCCUCCUCCGCUUUCUCCAUCCUGAUCCUUCCCUGCGGCACCAAUUUCUACAACCCUAAACCUCGCGUUUCACUGCUCUGCCUCUGGCUCCGGAGCCCAAGGCAUUUGUCGCCGUGUUCCUUCUUUUCUCGUACCUUUCUUUGGCUCCACCACCCCCGAAUCCUGCUCACCGUGUCCAUCUGUCGAAGGUUGUGCUUUUGCUUGGUUUCCUCCUCUCUUCUUCGGGCUGCAACUGAUCUCGGCU